UGACCUCGAUCAGGCAGGUUCCCACCCCC
rnacentral:rRNA from 1 species